UACGUAGGGUGCGAGCGUUAAUCGGAAUCACUGGGCGUAAAGCGCACGUAGGCGGCUUUCUAAGUCAGGGGUGAAAUCCUGGAGCUCAACUCCAGAACUGCCCUUGAUACUGGAAAGCUUGAGUUCGGGAGAGGUGAGUGGAACUGCGAGUGUAGAGGUGAAAUGCGUAGAUAUUCGCAAGAACACCAGUGGCGAAGGCGGCUCACUGGCCCGAUACUGACGCUGAGGUGCGAAAGCGUGGGGAGCAAACAGG
rnacentral:rRNA from 1 species